rnacentral:tRNA from 2 species
UCCGAGGUGGUCUAAUGGUAGGACAGCAGACUCUGAAUCUGCUUAUCUUGGUUCGAAUCCAAGCCUCGGAA